UUGACCUCGGAUCAGGUAGGACUACCCGCUGAACUUAAGCAUAUCAAUAAGCGGAGGAAAAGAAACCAACAGGGAUUGCCCCAGUAACGGCGAGUGAAGCGGCAACAGCUCAGAUUUGGAAUCUGGCCCCCAGGGCCCGAGUUGUAAUCUGGAGAGGAUGCUUCUGGCGCGGCGCCUUCCGAGUUCCCUGGAACGGGACGCCGGAGAGGGUGAGAGCCCCGUACGGUUGGACGCCUAGCCUUUGUGAAGCUCCUUCGACGAGUCGAGUAGUUUGGGAAUGCUGCUCAAAAUGGGAGGUAAAUUUCUUCUAAAGCUAAAUACCGGCCAGAGACCGAUAGCGCACAAGUAGAGUGAUCGAAAGAUGAAAAGCACUUUGAAAAGAGGGUCAAACAGUACGUGAAAUUGUUGAAAGGGAAGCGCCCGUGGCCAGACUUGUGCCCCGCGGACCACCCGGCGCCCUCAGCGCCGGUGCACUCCGCGGGGCGCAGGCCAGCAUCGGUUUUCCUAGGGGGAUAAAGGCGGCGGGAACGUGGCUCCUUCGGGAGUGUUAUAGCCCGUCGUGCCAUGCCCCUGGGGGGACCGAGGACCGCGCUUCGGCAAGGAUGCUGGCGUAAUGGCCACCGGCGACCCGU
rnacentral:rRNA from 1 species